CGAUCCCCACCCGGCCAACCCCCACCCUGCCCCCUCAUUUCGACUGAUCUGCGGCGCCAUCAGCAAAGACCAAAGCCCAUGGAGGCGACGGCGGAAGAGAGCGGCGAUGGACUGGAGUUCCUGGCAGAUCCGGUGGACAGGUUCCCCUUGCCGGAUCUUGCAUCCAACGGAUUCACGCCGGCCGGUGAGCUAGAUACUGGUCUCACACAGUCGACUGGUGAAUCAAACAUGGGAGAUGCUGGCGACAACCCACUGACAAUCCAGUUGGCCAUGACCAACGGCUGCGAAGCACUGAGCUUGUCGGCGGCGGAUUCGCAGCAAUCAACAGGAAAGGAUAACCCUCAGGCCCCCGGUUGGACAAGAAGACAUUGCCAGCUAUGAAGGUAAACACACCACUGAAGUUCCAUGCUAGCGAGAUCUACACGCAAGCAAUGUUCGACAAAUUUGGUGAAAUCAUGUAUGAAGCAAGACAAUACAGAGUAGAAGAAGUUGAAAAAGGUUCAAAAUAUUAUGUACACCGGUACCACCCGGAGAAACAUGACAAGUGCUGCAGAGUAUUGUACAUUGUACAUGUCCUCGCUCAGGGUGAUGAACUGACAUGUGAAUGUGGCAACUUCGAGCACAGAGGAUUGCUAUGCUGCCAUUCAAUUAAGGUUCUUGAUUUCUUGGGUAUAGACAGAAUUCCAUCAAAGCAUAUCCUGAAAAGGUGGACAAAGGAUGCCAGAGAUAUACUUCCAGAUCACUUGGCCCACCUACAAAAAGACAAGAUUCCAGCUAACUCCAUAACAUUCAGACAUUCAAAUAUGUAUACACAUGCUUUAGAGGUUGUGAAACUUGGUGAUGCAAAUCCAAUUGCAUAUGAUUGCGCAAUGGAACUUAGGGCAGCAAUGGAUAAACUGACUCCUUUAGCUGCUGAGCAUGAUAGUCUGGGUUUGGAACACUCAAGAAGACAAAACUUGCAGAAUUGAGUCAGCUGCAAGGGCCACAUAAUGGACACAUGUGCAACGAUGAGGGUAGUGCCAUAGGAAAUUUCAUUGGAUUAGCAGCUCCAGAAUGCAAACGGAAAACGCGGACGACCAACAAACAGCAGAGACAAGCCUCCGUACGACGACCGAUCUGCAAAGAGCAAAACAUGUAUGGUUACAUCACAACUCGAUGCAAUUGUCGGAUGCGGCACAAGCAAACGAACACGGUUCUGCACUAUAUGCCGUGGCCCUGGACACAAAAGCACAACAUGUCCACAAAGAGGGGACACGCCUCAAAAGAAAAGGAAAGAACCGAAAUGCUCAAUCUGCGGAGUGGGAGGGCAUCGAAAGAAUACCUGCAACAAAGAUUGUGGCACUCAUGAUCCUGCUAUCAAACAGUGAUUAAUCUAUGCAAAUCACCAAAAUCAUGUCAAGUAGCACUGAAAUUCUGCCAGUUGCCUACUGUAUCCUGCCUGAUCAGUGCCAGGCCCCUGAAGUACAUUGUGUACUUUCAGCUUAGAAAUCUGUAUUUGGCUGAACCCUGGGCUAUGUAGAUGAGUUGUUUAGAACUAAUUUCAUGCUGCUAUAACAGAGAUCUGGUACUAAUCUUAGUGUGCUACUGAUGAAAUGUUCAUCGACUAUCCAUCAUACACAUAUAUCUCCAUUUGUAUUUCCUGUUUUCGUGUUACUUUUAGCAGAAAUCCCAAGCCAUGA